UUAUUUCAGACGCAAAAAUUUAAGCUCCGUGAAAAAGGCAAAUAAUUGUGAUUUACUGACCCAAAAAUAAUUAAAAAACACAACGCGUAGUUUCAAACAUUGCCUAAAGGUAUUAUCUGCCAAUUUGAUGUAAUAAUUUGUCUUUUAAUCGGAGAAAAACUAUCAAUGACGCUUAUUCACUACUGUACAUGUAUGUAUGUGUGUAUGUAAUACAUUAUGUCAGGCAAUAUUAAAAUGACCGCUGACGUCUGAGAUGAAAAUGAAGAAAAAGAAGAAAAUUUUAAUGAUACUAAUGGUUAAAGGAAAUACAUGUUGUGACAAAAACUUUUAAACUUAUUAAAUGGGUUUUAUGAAAACAUCUUCAAAUGUAGUACCUAUAUACGAUUGGAUGAUACUGAAAAUUAAAAAAAAGACAAUUAUGAAGCUCUAUGGAAUCCAGCCGGUUAUUGUUCUAAAAAACACUAUUGUUUCCAUAUGGCCACGAAUGUUGGGGAUAUGUGUAUGCACUUAUUCCAUCAACCUGGAUGAAAGGCUGCCCACGGAGACCCAACUAAUUAGUGCCACACAAAGUUGGCUCACACGAGGACGCAGCUGCUCGAUGUUUAAGCCUCGAGCGUUUGCACAAAACUAAAACAAUGCAGCGAGCCAAGGAGCGAAGGAGUUUGGUUUGCGGAAACUUUGGGCAAAUGUUUGCCUCUGCCAACUGUGGACAUUAUUCAGAAAUGCAUGAAAUUGCUAAACUUGCACCGGAACGGCACUCCUCGGGGGAGUAUUGGCCACCGAAGCAGGAUAUGUUGGAGGCCGUCACCUCGAUGAGAAAACUGGCAUCUCCAUCUGCCAUCUCCCAUCACCAUCUCCCAUAUGGAAAUCGAUGGACGGCGGACAGCGCGCAUAAUUGCAUGAAUAAUUCAGCGUGCAUGGCCGUAAACAGCGACACGGUCGACACGUAUUACCCGUUCGCUUGACCGUCAAUUGCCCAUCAGACUGCCCCCAUUUCCCAUUCCCCUUUUCAGUUUUCCCGGGAUCCUGUAAGUGUCGGAGGAGCUGGGCACAAAGUGCUAAAAAUCAAUGAGCCACUUGUCACGGACAUCGGCGAGCCAGUUGACAACGUUCUGGGACAGGGCAAUGAGCACG